GAUGAACGCUGGCGGCGUGCUUAACACAUGCAAGUCGAACGAAGCACUUUACCUGAUUUCCUUCGGGGAUGAUUGUUCUGUGACUGAGUGGCGGACGGGUGAGUAACGCGUGGAUAACCUGCCUCACACAGGGGGAUAACAGUUGGAAACGGCUGCUAAUACCGCAUAAGCGCACAGCACCGCAUGGUGCAGUGUGAAAAACUCCGGUGGUGUGAGAUGGAUCCGCGUCUGAUUAGCUAGUUGGCGGGGUAACGGCCCACCAAGGCGACGAUCAGUAGCCGGCCUGAGAGGGCGACCGGCCACAUUGGGACUGAGACACGGCCCAGACUCCUACGGGAGGCAGCAGUGGGGAAUAUUGCACAAUGGGGGAAACCCUGAUGCAGCGACGCCGCGUGAGCGAUGAAGUAUUUCGGUAUGUAAAGCUCUAUCAGCAGGGAAGAUAAUGACG
rnacentral:rRNA from 1 species